GAUGAACGCUGGCGGCGUGUCUAACACAUGCAAGUCGAGCGGAGAUAUUCAAAGUAGUAAUACUGCGGAUAUUUUAGCGGCGGACGGGUGAGUAACACGUGAGCAAUCUGCCUUUUGCUGGGGAAUAACAUUGUGAAAACAGUGCUAAUACCGCAUAACGUAUUUUCAGGACAUCCUGGAAAUACCAAAGGAGAAAUCCGGCAAGAGAUGAGCUCGCGUCCGAUUAGGUAGUUGGUGAGGUAACGGCCCACCAAGCCCACGAUCGGUAGCCGAACUGAGAGGUUGAUCGGCCACAUUGGGACUGAGACACGGCCCAGACUCCUACGGGAGGCAG
rnacentral:rRNA from 1 species